rnacentral:rRNA from 1 species
GACGAACGCUGGCGGCGUGCCUAAUACAUGCAAGUCGAGCGAACCUUUAAAAGCUUGCUUUUGAAGGUUAGCGGCGGACGGGUGAGUAACACGUGGGCAACCUGCCUGUAAGACUGGGAUAACUUCGGGAAACCGGAGCUAAUACCGGAUAAUCCACCCCCUCACAUGAGGGAGUGCUGAAAGACGGCUUCUUGCUGUCACUUACAGAUGGGCCCGCGGCGCAUUAGCUAGUUGGUGAGGUAACGGCUCACCAAGGCGACGAUGCGUAGCCGACCUGAGAGGGUGAUCGGCCACACUGGGACUGAGACACGGCCCAGACUCCUACGGGAGGCAGCAGUAGGGAAUCUUCCGCAAUGGACGAAAGUCUGACGGAGCAACGCCGCGUGAGCGAAGAAGGCCUUCGGGUCGUAAAGCUCUGUUGUCAGGGAAGAACAAGUACCGGAGUAACUGCCGGUACCUUGACGGUACCUGACCAGAAAGCCACGGCUAACUACGUGCCAGCAGCCGCGGUAAUACGUAGGUGGCAAGCGUUGUCCGGAAUUAUUGGGCGUAAAGCGCGCGCAGGCGGUUCCUUAAGUCUGAUGUGAAAGCCCACGGCUC